rnacentral:rRNA from 1 species
AACGAACGCUGGCGGCAGGCUUAACACAUGCAAGUCGAGCGCCCCGCAAGGGGAGCGGCAGACGGGUGAGUAACGCGUGGGAACGUACCUUUUGGUUCGGAACAACUCCGGGAAACUGGAGCUAAUACCGGAUAAGCCCUAACGGGGAAAGAUUUAUCGCCGAAAGAUCGGCCCGCGUCUGAUUAGCUAGUUGGUGAGGUAACGGCUCACCAAGGCGGCGAUCAGUAGCUGGUCUGAGAGGAUGAUCAGCCACACUGGGACUGAGACACGGCCCAGACUCCUACGGGAGGCAGCAGUGGGGAAUAUUGGACAAUGGGCGCAAGCCUGAUCCAGCCAUGCCGCGUGAGUGAUGAAGGCCUUAGGGUUGUAAAGCUCUUUUGUCCGGGAAGAUAAUGACUGUACCGGAAGAAUAAGCCCCGGCUAACUUCGUG